ACUUUAGAUAUGAUCCAGAGUACCACGGGACACGUGAAACCCUGUGGGAAGCAGGAGGGACCACCCUCCAAGGCUAAAUACUACCUAGUGACCGAUAGCGUAUAGUACCGUGAGGGAAAGGUGAAAAGAACCCCGGGAGGGGAGUGAAAUAGAACCUGAAACCCUGCACUUACAAGCUGUGGAAGCACAUUUCUUGUGUGACCGCGUACUUUUUGUAGAACGGGCCAACGAGUUACGUUAAGUAGCAAGGUUAAGCACUUAAGGUGUGGAGCCGUAGCGAAAGCGAGUUUU
rnacentral:rRNA from 1 species